GAGGAUGACCAGCCACACUGGAACUGAGACACGGUCCAGACUCCUACGGGAGGCAGCAGUGGGGAAUAUUGCACAAUGGGCGCAAGCCUGAUGCAGCCAUGCCGCGUGUGUGAAGAAGGCCUUCGGGUUGUAAAGCACUUUCAGCGAGGAGGAAGGUGGUGAGCUUAAUACGCUCAUCAAUUGACGUUACUCGCAGAAGAAGCACCGGCUAACUCCGUGCCAGCAGCCGCGGUAAUACGGAGGGUGCAAGCGUUAAUCGGAAUUACUGGGCGUAAAGCGCACGCAGGCGGUCUGUCAAGUCGGAUGUGAAAUCCCCGGGCUCAACCUGGGAACUGCAUUCGAAACUGGCAGGCUAGAGUCUUGUAGAGGGGGGUAGAAUUCCAGGUGUAGCGGUGAAAUGCGUAGAGAUCUGGAGGAAUACCGGUGGCGAAGGCGGCCCCCUGGGCAAAGACUGACGCUCAGGUG
rnacentral:rRNA from 1 species